AAUAAUGGCUCCGAUUGGUAACCACUUUUGAGGAAAACAAUGAAUAGGAAAGUCGUGUUCCUUUUUGUUCCUCGGUAUUUUUUACCAUUUGCAAGGAAUUUUUGAUCCAUUUUCAGACAGGUGGAUCCUACAUUUUUCCUCAUCAUUCCUCAAAAAAAAAGAAUGAUAGAACAAAAUUGUUCCUCCCCAAAAUUCCUAUUGUUCAUUUCUUUGGUCACCAAUCGGAGCCAAUAU
rnacentral:sRNA from 1 species